CAUAAAGUAGAAAGCACUACUAAACUUUACUGCACAGUGUAGUGUUUCCUACUUUAUGGA
rnacentral:pre_miRNA from 1 species